UGGGGAAUAUUGCACAAUGGGGGAAACCCUGAUGCAGCGACGCCGCGUGAGCGAAGAAGGUUUUCGAAUCGUAAAGCUCUGUCCUAUGGGAAGAUAAUGACGGUACCAUAGGAGGAAGCCCCGGCUAACUACGUGCCAGCAGCCGCGGUAAUACGGAGGGGGCAAGCGUUGUCCGGAAUCACUGGGCGUAAAGGGUUCGCAGGCGGAAAUGCAAGUCAGUUGUGAAAGGCAGAGGCUCAACCUCUGUAAGCAAUUGAAACUGUAUUUCUUGAGAUGUGGAGAGGCAAGUGGAAUUCCUAGUGUAGCGGUGAAAUGCGUAGAUAUUAGGAAGAAUACCGGUGGCGAAGGCGACUUGCUGGACACAAACUGACGCUGAGGAACGAAAGCGUGGGUAGCAAACAGG
rnacentral:rRNA from 1 species